rnacentral:lncRNA from 1 species
UGCCUACAAAUUUUCGAUCUUUUCUGCUUAAACUUUAGAUACAUAUUAUUCAAAUGAAAUGUACCUAAAAUUGACAAAAUCGCCUACGGGGGCUAAUUACAGAGAUGAUAUCCAGUACAGGUCACCAAACAGAAAGAUAAAAUGAAGAACUUGUACAGGUGAUUAUCAUCCUUGGUUUAGAUCAGUAGAGCAAAAGCUAAGAUAGAUAGCAGUGAUCAUUGCGGAGAAGCAUCACGACUCCAGUGAGAUCCAGGAGGUAUCUGAUGGAGAUUCUGUAGACACAAUUCUCAACUUCAGAUUGGGACAGCUAUGGAACAGCUUGUCUGGAACCUUUUCUCGAUUCAAAGAUCAUGGAUUUCUUAAGGGUUCAACCUCCUGGACCAAAUCGCUGUUUCUCCUACACAAGCAAAGCAGUUUAGAACAAAAAACUCGAGCGGAUUCCAUCAUAAAAUAACACGAAUCGUAUAGCCAACAUAGAUCUAAGGAUUAGAAAUAUCAUACUCACUAUUGUUCUGAGCCAGUCAUGUUCAUCAUAAUCCGGCAUUCAUAACUGCGUCCCAACUUGUAUUCUAAACAGUCUCCAUGAAUCUGCAGAAGUAUGCGAAUCUGUGAGCCAUUCGAAUUCCCUGCGGUGUGAGGAUCCAUGUGG